rnacentral:rRNA from 1 species
ACUCGAGUGGCGAACGGGUGAGUAACACGUGGGUGAUCUGCCCUGCACUUCGGGAUAAGCUUGGGAAACUGGGUCUAAUACCGGAUAGGAGCCAUCUUUAGUGUGGUGGUUGGAAAGUUUUUUCGGUGUAGGAUGAGCUCGCGGCCUAUCAGCUUGUUGGUGGGGUAAUGGCCUACCAAGGCGGCGACGGGUAGCCGGCCUGAGAGGGUGUACGGCCACAUUGGGACUGAGAUACGGCCCAGACUCCUACGGGAGGCAGCAGUGGGGAAUAUUGCACAAUGGGCGCAAGCCUGAUGCAGCGACGCCGCGUGGGGGAUGAAGGCCUUCGGGUUGUAAACUCCUUUCGCUAGGGACGAAGCUUUGUGUGACGGUACCUAGAUAAGAAGCACCGGCUAACUACGUGCCAGCAGCCGCGGUAAUACGUAGGGUGCGAGCGUUGUCCGGAAUUACUGGGCGUAAAGAGCUCGUAGGUGGUUUGUCGCGUCGUCUGUGAAAUUCUGGGGCUUAACUCCGGGCGUGCAGGCGAUACGGGCAUAACUUGAGUGCUGUAGGGGUAACUGGAAUUCCUGGUGUAGCGGUGAAAUGCGCAGAUAUCAGGAGGACACCGAUGGCGAAGGCAGGUUACUGGGCAG